CGGACGGGUGAGUAACGCGUGGAAAACCUGCCGUAUACUGGGGGAUAACACUUAGAAAUAGGUGCUAAUACCGCAUAAGCGCACAGCUUCGCAUGAAGCGGUGUGAAAAACUCUGGUGGUAUACGAUGGUUCCGCGUCUGAUUAGCUAGUUGGUGGGGUAAUGGCCUACCAAGGCAACGAUCAGUAGCCGGCCUGAGAGGGUGAACGGCCACAUUGGGACUGAGACACGGCCCAGACUCCUACGGGAGGCAGCAG
rnacentral:rRNA from 1 species